GGGUUGUGAGGUUAAGCGACUAAGCGUACACGGUGGAUGCCCUGGCAGUCAGAGGCGAUGAAGGACGUGCUAAUCUGCGAUAAGCGUCGGUAAGGUGAUAUGAACCGUUAUAACCGGCGAUUUCCGAAUGGGGAAACCCAGUGUGAUUCGUCACACUAUCAUUAACUGAAUCCAUAGGUUAAUGAGGCGAACCGGGGGAACUGAAACAUCUAAGUACCCCGAGGAAAAGAAAUCAACCGAGAUUCCCCCAGUAGCGGCGAGCGAACGGGGAGCAGCCCAGAGCCUGAAUCAGUGUGUGUGUUAGUGGAAGCGUCUGGAAAGGCGUGCGAUACAGGGUGACAGCCCCGUACACAAAAAUGCACAUAUUGUGAGCUCGAUGAGU
rnacentral:rRNA from 1 species